rnacentral:rRNA from 1 species
GGAUGCGAUCAUACCAGCACUAAAGCACCGGAUCCCAUCAGAACUUCGAAGUUAAGCGUGCUUGGGCGAGAGUAGUACUAGGAUGGGUGACUCCUGGGAAGUCCUCAUGUUGCAUUCC